UACAGAGGUCUCAAGCGUUGUUCGGAAUCACUGGGCGGAAAGCGCACGUAGGCGGAUGUGUCAGUCAGGGGUGAAAUCCCGGGGCUCAACCUCGGAACUGCCUUUGAUACAGCACGUCUCGAGUCCGGAAGAGGUGGGUGGAAUUCCUAGUGUAGAGGUGAAAUUCGUAGAUAUUAGGAAGAACACCGGUGGCGAAGGCGGCCCACUGGUCCGGUACUGACGCUGAGGUGCGAAAGCGUGGGGAGCAAACAGG
rnacentral:rRNA from 1 species